UACGUAGGCAGCGAGCGUUGUUCGGAGUUACUGGGCGUAAAGGGUGCGUAGGUGGCGGGGUAAGUUUGAUGUGAAAUCUCCGAGCUCAACUCGGAAAUGGCAUUGAAUACUACUCUGCUCGAGGUUUGGAGGGGGGACUGGAAUUCUCGGUGUAGCAGUGAAAUGCGUAGAUAUCGAGAGGAACACCAGUGGCGAAGGCGAGUCCCUGGACAACACCUGACACUGAGGCACGAAAGCUAGGGGAGCAAACAGG
rnacentral:rRNA from 1 species